AAGGAGGACGCACGAGGAGGGACGUCACGUAAAAGGGAGAAGACGAUUGGGGGGAGGGGGGCAUCAUUUAUCGACUGCAAAACUAUACUUGCAGUUUUUUGGCCAUAUUCCGUCCGGAAGUGACGCGGGUUUAUCUGGAUUAUUUUUCUGCGCUUUGGACUUAAGAAAAGGGAGAAACGUUUUGUUACCGCGGGUUGUACAACUGUAAACUAGACUUGCCAAAGAACGGCAACGCCCAAGUGGCCAACCAGACCUUCAAUCUUCGCUCUGGCUCCGCCCCCUGCACCCUCCUCCUAACCUCUGCUCGCUCGGAAGCUCGGUCUCCGCCCUCCCCUCCCGUCUUUUAUUCACACGAAACGGGGAAACGGAGUGGAGGAAGGGGGCCAUCCUGACUUGCUCCUCAUCCUCAACUCGUAGCUUUUACGCUUUACUGCCUAUGCACCCUUUGCUUGUCUUCUUCUUCCUGUCGUUUUCACAGAAAACCGUCUUUCAGCCGUCUGUCGCCUUGUCUCCUGAAUGGCAGCUGAGGCGUCGGCCAUUUCUAAUUCCCUUUCUCCUCCCGACUGUUGGUCUGCAGAGCUCAGCAGCUGGGAGGAAGUGGUGGUGGGGGGGUUGGAUUCAAGAGGGGAAAGGCAGGAAGUGAUGAAGCUGCCACUCUUCGCUAAACAACAGCUUCACUCUGUUCAUCUUGUUCCUUCCUAAGCUCACAAGAAAAAUCUGUCCUGCCCCCACGGUGCUUCUGUUUGUUCUCUUUGUUCAGGUUAAUUCACAUUUCCUUACUGACACUUUUACCCUCUCAGAGGUCAAAGGUCAAAGGAGUUUGACUCCCAAACCGACGUGUUAAGAGGCUCACUUCCUUUCUUUAAGCAACUAAAGAGUUGUCUGUCUGAAUACCAGCAGGAAUUUUACAGUAAAUGGUUCACCGGAUUGAAAAAUGCCAACGGUGACAGGAUAACAGACAGAGUGCCGACAGGCAGGAACGAGAGGAAGAGCCGCACAGACGGGCGGUCAGUCAAACAGACAGACAGACAGACGGACAGGUGUGAGAGCGGAACAGACUGCAAGAAAAAGACUGCAGAGUUCAAACCAGCAGGCAGAGAACGAUGGAAACCUGUCAGAGUCACGGACAAGCUUCCACUCUGCACUGUGCUUUGAAAUGAGCUGCAAACAUCCUCGUAUGAGGACAAAAAAACUUUACUUACACAAAGUUUGGAACGCUGAAUAUCCCAUUCAGAUUGUUUUCAGUCUAACAAACCAUCAGAUAAAACUUUUCUGCUGUUUUUUGUCUAAAACAGUCAUGCAGCAGGAGC
rnacentral:lncRNA from 1 species